UACGUAGGGUGCAAGCGUUUAAUCGGAAUUACUGGGCGUAAAGCGCACGUAGGCGGGUUGUUAAGUCAGGCGUGAAAGCCCCGGGCUCAACCUGGGAACCGCGCUUGAGACUGGCACGCUCGAGUUCGGGAGAGGAUGGUGGAAUUCCCAGUGUAGAGGUGAAAUUCGUAGAUAUUGGGAAGAACACCGAUGGCGAAGGCAGCCAUCUGGACCGACACUGACGCUGAGGCGCGGAAAAGCGUGGGGAGCAAACAGG
rnacentral:rRNA from 1 species